rnacentral:rRNA from 1 species
AAUGAACGUUGGCGGCGUGGAUUAGGCAUGCAAGUCGAGCGAGAACCCGCAAGGGGGACAGCGGCAAACGGGGUAGUAAUGUGUCGGAACGUGCCCUCUGGUCGGGGAUAGCGGCGGGAAACUGUAGGUAAUACCCGAUGAUCUCUGCGGAGCAAAGGUGUGAUUCCGCCAGGGGAGCGGCGUACAUGAUAUUAGCUAGUUGGUGGGGUAAUGGCCCACCAAGGCGAUGAUGUCUAGGGGGUGUGAGAGCAUGGCCCCCACGACCGGAACUGAGAUACUGCCCGGACACCUACGGGUGGCUGCAGUCGAGAAUCUUCCGCAAUGGACGAAAGUCUGACGGAGCGAUGCCGCGUGCGGGAUGAAGGCCCUUGGGUUGUAAACCGCUGUCAGAGGGGAUGAAAUCUCCGGAGGUUCUCCUCCGGAGUUGACAGAGCCUCAGAGGAAGCACGGGCUAAGUAUGUGCCAGCAGCCGCCGUAAAAC